rnacentral:tRNA from 1 species
GGGGUGGUAGUUUAAAUAUACCCAGAACACUGGAUUGUCAUUCCAUAGGUGGGUUUUCCCCACCCUU